rnacentral:rRNA from 1 species
UGGGGAAUUUUGGACAAUGGGCGAAAGCCUGAUCCAGCAAUGCCGCGUGUGUGAAGAAGGCCUUCGGGUUGUAAAGCACUUUUGUCCGGAAAGAAAUCCUUGGCUCUAAUACAGUCGGGGGAUGACGGUACCGGAAGAAUAAGCACCGGCUAACUACGUGCCAGCAGCCGCGGUAAUACGUAGGGUGCAAGCGUUAAUCGGAAUUACUGGGCGUAAAGUGUGCGCAGGCGGUUUGCUAAGACCGAUGUGAAAUCCCCGGGCUCAACCUGGGAACUGCAUUGGUGACUGGCAGGCUAGAGUAUGGCAGAGGGGGGUAGAAUUCCACGUGUAGCAGUGAAAUGCGUAGAGAUGUGGAGGAAUACCGAUGGCGAAGGCAGCCCCCUGGGCCAAUACUGACGCUCAUGCACGAAAGCGUGGGGGAGCAAACAGGAUUAGAUACCCUGGUAGUCCACGCCCUAAACGAUGUCAACUAGUUGUUGGGGAUUCAUUUCCUUAGUAACGUAGCUAACGCGUGAAGUUGACCGCCUGGGGAGUACGGUCGCAAGAUUAAAACUUAAAGGAAUUGACGGGGUCAUAGCUGUUUCCU